rnacentral:rRNA from 1 species
UACGUAGGGACGCAAGCGUUGUUCGGAUUUACUGGGCGUAAAGGGCGCGUAGGCGGCAAUUCAAGUCAUCUGUGAAAUCUCCGGGCUUAACUCGGAACGGUCAGAUGAUACUGUUUUGCUAGAGUGCAGAAGGGGCAAUCGGAAUUCUUGGUGUAGCGGUGAAAUGCGUAGAUAUCAAGAGGAACACCUGAGGUGAAAGACGGGUUGCUGGGCUGACACUGACGCUGAGGCGCGAA